UACGUAGGGUGCGAGCGUUGUCCGGAUUUAUUGGGCGUAAAGAGCUCGUAGGCGGCUUGUCGCGUCGGAUGUGAAAGCCCCGGGCUCAACCCGGGAAGUGCACUCGAUACUGCCGAGCUAGAGUGUCGGAGAGGUUGGUGGAAUUCUCGGUGUAGAGGUGAAAUUCGUAGAUAUCGAGAGGAACACCGGUGGCGAAGGCGGCCAACUGGACGAACACUGACGCUGGAGAACUCGAAAGACGUGGGGGAGCAAACAGG
rnacentral:rRNA from 1 species